rnacentral:rRNA from 1 species
UACGUAGGGGGCAAGCGUUGUCCGGAAUCAUUGGGCGUAAAGAGCGUGUAGGCGGCCAGAUAAGUCCGCUGUGAAAUCUCGAGGCUCAACUUCGAGCUGUCGGUGGAAACUGUCUGGCUAGAGUCCGGAAGAGGAGUGUGGAAUUCCUGGUGUAGCGGUGAAAUGCGCAGAUAUCAGGAGGAACACCAAUGGCGAAGGCAGCACUCUGGGACGUGACUGACGCUGAGACGCGAAAGCGUGGGGAGCAAACAGG